AUCCAGUCAGGACACAGCAUGGACAUGAGGGUCCCCGCUCAGCUUCUGGGGUUCCUGCUGCUCUGGCUCCCAGGUGCCAGAUGUGACAUCCAGAUGACCCAGUCUCCAUCCUCCCUGUCUGCAUCUGUAGGAGACAAAGUCACCAUCACUUGCCAGGCAAGUCAGGGCAUUAGCAAGUGGUUAGCCUGGCAUCAGCAAAAACCAGGGAAAGCCCCUAAGCUCUUAAUCUAUGAGGCAUCCAAAUUGCAAAGUGGGGUCCCAUCAAGGUUCAGCGGCAGUGGAUCUGGGACAGAUUUUACUCUCACCAUCAGCAGCCUGCAGCCUGAAGACUUUGCAACUUACUACUGUCAACAACAUAACAGUGACCCUCCCACAGUGUUACAAACCCGAACAUAA